rnacentral:piRNA from 1 species
UCUCUACUGGCUCCAAGUAGACUGUGGA